rnacentral:rRNA from 1 species
CCUACGGGUGGCAGCAGUGAGGAAUAUUGGUCAAUGGGCGAGAUCCUGAACCAGCCAAGCCGCGUGAGGGAAGACGGCCCUAUGGGUUGUAAACCUCUUUUGUCGGAGAACAAAACCCGGGACGUGUCCCGUCCUGCGUGUAUCCGAAGAAACAGCAUCGGCUAACUCCGUGCCAUCACCCCCGGUAAUACGGGGGAUGCGAGCGUUAUCCGGAUUUAUUGGGUUAAAAGGGUGCGUAGGCGGUCCGUUAAGUCAGCGGUAAAAUUGCGGGGCUAAACCCCGUCGAGCCGUUGAAACUGGCAGACUUGAGUUGGCGAGAGGUACGCGGAACGCGAGGUGUAGCGGUGAAAUGCAUAGAUAUCGCGCAGAACUCCGAUUGCGAAAGCAGCGUACCGGCGUCAGACUGACGCUGAGGUACGAAAGCGUGGGGAGCGAACAGGAUUAGAUACCCUUGUAGUC